GCGAGUGAAGCGGCAAAAGCUCAAAUUUGAAAUCUGGUACCUUCGGUGCCCGAGUUGUAAUUUGAAGAUUGUACUCUGGAGUUGGCCCUUGUCUAUGUUCCUUGGAACAGGACGUCACAGAGGGUGAGAAUCCCGUGCGAUGGGGUGUCCAAUUCCAUGUAGAGUGCUAUCGAAGAGUCGAGUUGUUUGGGAAUGCAGCUCUAAGUGGGUGGUAAAUUCCAUCUAAAGCUAAAUAUUGGCGAGAGACCGAUAGCGAACAAGUACAGUGAUGGAAAGAUGAAAAGAACUUUGAAAAGAGAGUGAAAAAGUACGUGAAAUUGUUGAAAGGGAAGGUUAUUAGAUCAGACUUGGUGUUUGGCGAUAUUCAGUCUCUUGUAGGCUGUUCACUCGUCUUUCACUGGGCCAGCAUCGGUUUGGAUGGCAGGAUAAUGGCUGUUGAACGUGGCUCUUCGGAGUGUUAUAGCUUCAGCUGAUACUGCCUAUCUAGACCGAGGACUGCGGCUUUCGAGCCUAGGAUGCUGGCGUAAUGAUCUAAUAUCGCCC
rnacentral:rRNA from 1 species